AUUGAACGCUGGCGGCAGGCCUAACACAUGCAAUUCGAGCGAGCGGCGGACGGGUGAGUAAUGUAUGGGGACUGUCCGCUAGCGGGGGAUAACCACUGGAAACGGUAGCUAAUACCGCAUACUAUCGGAUAACCCAUAUGGGAUUAGCUAGUAGGUGAGUUAAUGUCCCACCUAGGCGACGGUCCCUAGCUGGUCUGAGAGGAUGAUCAGACACACGGGGAAGGAGAUACGGCCCAGACUCCUACGGAGGCAGCAGUGGGGAAUAUUGCACAAUGGGCGGAAGCCUGAUGCAGCCAUGCGGCGUGUAUGAAGAAGGCCCUAGGGUUGUAAAGUACUUUCAGUCGGGAGGCGUUACCGAAAGAAGAAGCACCGGCUAACUCCGUGCCAGCAGCCGCGGUAAUAC
rnacentral:rRNA from 1 species